CAUGAUGAAUGUUGGGGAGUUCCAGUCUAUGAUGAUAAUCAAUUGUUUGAGCUACUUGCACAGUGUGGCAUGUUGAUGGAUUUCAACUGGACUCAAAUUUUGAAAAGGAGAGAACUACUCAGAGAAACUUUUGGUGGGUUUAAUGUAAAGAAUGUGGCCAAAAUGGGGGAGAAAGAGAUUCAAGAAAUUGCAUCCAAAAAACCAUUGAUGUUAAA